rnacentral:lncRNA from 1 species
AACAGUGUCACUUGAAGCUUGGCUAACCAAAAAGCUCAAUAUCACACCCCUCUGCUGGCAAAUGGUGCAUUGUGUCUGAAGACAACAGAAAAUAGAAAUUGUCUCUCACUUACUUUUAAAAUAUACUGUUCACAUACAACCUCAGUCUGAGACCAGGAAGAGUUACCUUUCUUCCAUCUGGUCACUUAGGAUUAGAAUCAGAUAGGAGAAAAGUUUCUAAUUUCAAGAACCAAUGGUUCUAUCAUUCUUUAAUCACAACAGUAACAUUUGGAUAUUUUAACCAGAAAUAUCUUAACAAAGUCAACCAAGUAAACAGUUAAGUACAGAAAAACUUUCACUUGCUUGUUACAGAGAAAGCUGGUGGAUAAGAGAAAGCAAGGGCUCUAACGACUUCAUUUUAAAUACCUGCUCUCCAAAAGUAGAUUAUUUAGCUUAAAAAAUGCUUUUGUAACUAAGGCCAUUACCACCACCACCACUCACCCACCUACCCACCCACAUACAAUUUAUAAAUUCAACUUUUAGUUUUGGCACAUUCUAAUUAUAUGGAUCACUUUUCUCCCUAUUCUCAACUUAGUCAAAACAGAUAGCUCCUUCUUACAGAAAGAACUAGAGUCAUUGCCUUUAGCAUUAACAUUUCCAUGGUGAAGCUUUUGAUAGACUAAACACAGAUGGAAAAGUCAGGACUCUUCCCAAGAGUCAAGAAUCCUACUUUGCUCAAUAAGGCCUGUAAAUGAGAAGCUGAAUAGUUCUGAUGUGGGUUCUUCAUGCUAAAUAAAGGUCUAACAUUUCAUGAGUUGAACGUUUCAUAUACUGUAGAAUGUGACCCCAUAGAUAACCUUUACUUCCAUCCAGCUCUUCAUUAAGUCCAACACAGCUUUAUUCACUAAAACUUUGCAGUUUAACAAAAUGUAGUCAUAAUUAUUAUUUGAAACAGGCAAACCUACUUAUUUUCUUUAAAUGUAAACACAAAUUAUUCCAUGCUAAAUCACAUUGGGACUCCGUGUUCUCAUUCUUCAUCUUAAUGAUCUAAUAUCCAUUUUUAUAUUGUUAUAUUUCUUACUAUGUGAAACAUGUUUCAAAUUACUUCACAUGUGUUUCAAAGAAGAGGCUAUGUUACAUCUUAAUUAUUAAAUAGAAAGUAUAGAAUAGUAAAGUCAUGAGUAUUAUCUAAUAGUACUUCAACUUUUUUUUAAAAUGUCUUGCCAACAGAGCCUUUGGUUUUGUUUUUAGAGACAAGAUUUCUCUGUGUAGCUUGUCAACACAGCCUUUUAAAGGGUAUAGUGAAUUUUUAAGUAACAGAAAAUUUGUUUCGAUGACAAAUGAUAUGACACACAAAGAAAAAUGAGAAAUAUACAGUCUUUUUCAAUUUUAAUUUUUAAAGAGAAAAAGAUGCAUUCGUCUGAAAUGUGUUCAGAAAACAAAACAAAAAAAAAAAUCAGAAUGAAAGCAAAGAUAGCUUACUUACUCUUCUGAGAUUUUUUUAUUGUACAUAUAUGAAAAUGAGACAUUCUCUUUGAUCUCAAACUGCACUUCAAUUUAAAAGAUGGUUCUUUUAACUUCUUCAGAAAACUAAUCAAACUUUCAAUCUUAAUACUCCAAUAAUUAAAGAGAUAUGACAUUUAUGAGAAAAAUCAAAGUUUGUAUCAUACUACUAAAAUCAAAUUUUUUGAGCAGGUGAGAUAGCUUAGUUGAUUAAGGCCUUACCACCAAGCCUGAUGACCUAAUUCUAAUCCCUAGGAAUCAAUUUGAUGGAAACAGAGAAAGAACCAACUCCCUCCAUGUAACCUCCAUACAGGCAUUAUCCUGUACCACCCCACAGAUAGAUAGAUAGAUAGAUAGAUAGAUAGAUAGAUAGAUAGAUAGAUAGAUAGAUAGAUAGAUAGAUAGAUUUUAAAGUUGAAGUGUGUCACAUUUUAUUAGUAGUAUUUUACUGUGAAUUUCCUAAGUGUUCUCAACUGCAAUAAAAACUAUAAAACAAUUAUUAAACCUCAGUAAAUGGAGUGUGUAAUGUCUUAUUACAGAUACUUACAUCAUAGUACUUUUUAAUGCACCGUCUAAUGUCCAUGAUCAAUUUGUUGCUCAGCUGUACCAUGAAGGUCAACGGUGAAACCUUACAAUCAACAUUACUGCAACGAUACAAACUGGGUUCCAUAUCCAGUCCCUAUAGAAGCCAGGAUAAACAAGUACACACAAGGUUAUUACCAGAAACAAUGUUAUGGCUCAAACUUACUUUAUUUUUUCUUGGCACACAACACUUUUCUAGAAGAGUUUUUAACUAUACUUUAUGUGUUAUUUAUGGCUUUAAGACCCUAAUUAGAAGUACGUGGUAUCUAUUCUUUUGCUAUCAUCACAAUGAACUACAAAGUCAAAUGGAAAUCCAUGAACUCACUACUUUACAUCCCAUGUAAGACAGGACUUACAGAGAAGGUCAUUUCCUCUUUGAAAAUAGCACAGAAAUCAUGUUACCAAAAAUAAACAUUAUUUUUAGAGACACUGAUCAAUAAUUCUAAUCUGCAGUCAUUCAUUACAAACUUGAAGAUAAAGCAAGGACCGAGCCUUAUACAACAUUAGUUAGCUGUUACUACAUCAACUGAAAUUUAGACAGAGAAAUCUAAAACGUAAAAGUACUGUACCGCAAGAGUAAUAAAGCAAUCUCAUUUAUCAUAAGAUUAGCAAAUCUAAAAUUCUUGUGCCUUAAAAGAAUUAAAAUUAUUUAGGAAAGGAUGCUUCAAGAGGAGUAUAAGUUUGGAAGAGUAACUAUUAGCAGUUGGAGAAACAUUUUAUUGUGUCACAGUGUGUUUUAAACAAAGACAAAACAAAUAUAAGAUAUAGGAAAACUGUUGGGGUUUCUGGAGCAUUUGUUUUCCUUCUGGAUACUUAAACAUCUUGGUUGGUUUCCUGCUCCAAUCUGGUGUAGAACCCGACCCGACAAGCUAAGCAACUCCAGGUGGGAGAGAUUUCAGAGCUUGACAUGGGCUCUUCCCCAGUUAGCCCAUCUGCAAGUCGUCAAGCCUCCAUGCAAUUAACUAUCUUAUUUACAGCUGCAAUGAAGCAAAGCUCAAGGAUUUAGCAAGUACUGCUGAUCUGUGUCUGCCUCUUCCUUGCACUUGCUUCCAAAAGCUGCUUUGUUUUGAUUCAAAAAAUGCAAAACAUCUGCUGUUUGUCCAAAUUAACUUAAAAUAAUUACUUUUAAUUUAGAUAAAGGAUGUAUUUUCCUUCAGUUUCAAGGUUUCAGAGUUCUGCUGCCUACUCAUUUGCCAAUGGCUAGCACACUUUUAACACUGCAGUGAAAUAAACUGAAUUGGCCAAGUUUCAAGUUCUGAUCCAAGGUCAAUGAUACAUUUUUGGCAGUACUUCUUGACAGAAAGGUCUCCCUGUCAUUUUUUUAAAACGUCUGAUAUGGAAAGACAAAAAAACCACCAAACAAAAAACAACAACAAAAAACUAAAAAGCACCUUUGUC